rnacentral:tRNA from 1 species
GGUAGCAUUGCUGGGUGAUACGACGGAAUCAUAAUCCGCAGGUCCGGGGUUCGAGUCCCUGAUUCGCCACCA